CUGUCAUGUUUCCCCUGAAUAGCAAAAUUACUUAUUCGUUUUACUACGCUUUCAAUAUACGACAUAAAUCGAGUACGAAAAAUUCACUGAACAACUCUGCGUAGCUAGCUCUUAAGCUCUUUAUUUCGAAAAAGAUUGUAAAAAUGUCCGAUAAAAGCGAUGUUGACGAACUCGGUGAAGCUGGACCCAGCAGCAAAAAACAAAAAACUACGCAUAGUGAUGAUUUAAACGACCCGAGUGAAGUUAUGCAUUUUAUACUACCGAAAUGCAUACAAAUUCGCCGAAUUGAAACUCCAGAACGUAAUACUGACGAAAUAAUUAAAAAAAUUGAACAGCUCGACAAAAAGAUAGACAUCAUAAACUAUAACUGCGUGGGCGUUAAGCGGCUGGUUGAAAAUUUACAAAAAUCAGUGGAUAAGAUUAUGAAAAUUGUUAUGCCGAAAACAACGUCAAUGAGAGUAGAGUUCCCACUUAGCGAUGACGCUGAUUUAAACAGACUUGAAGAGUUAAGCAAAAACGCAGAUGUGGAGGCAGUACUCCAACAAAAGUUCUCAUCGUUAUCUAACAAAUCAGCGUAUGAUUUGUUCCGUGUAGCGGUGCAAAACAUGUUCCAGAAUACAGGUCGACAUACGUGGA